UAAUUGAAGAGUUUGAUCAUGGCUCAGAUUGAACGCUGGCGGUAUGCUUAACACAUGCAAGUCGAACGGUAACAGAGGAUAGCUUGCUAUCUUGCUGACGAGUGGCGGACGGGUGAGUAACGCGUAGGGAUCUACCCAGCUGCGGGGGAUAGCCCGGUGAAAACCGGAUUAAUACCGCAUACGACCUUCGGGUGAAAGGGUGCCUCUCCUUGGAAGCAUUCACAGUUGGAUGAACCUGCGUCAGAUUAGCUAGUUGGUAGGGUAAAGGCCUACCAAGGCGACGAUCUGUAGCUGGUCUGAGAGGAUGAUCAGCCACACUGGGACUGAGACACGGCCCAGACUCCUACGGGAGGCAGCAGUGGGGAAUAUUGCGCAAUGGGCGAAAGCCUGACGCAGCCAUGCCGCGUGUGUGAA
rnacentral:rRNA from 1 species